AUUGAACGCUGGCGGCAUGCCUUACACAUGCAAGUCGAACGGCAGCACGGGAGCAAUCCUGGUGGCGAGUGGCGAACGGGUGAGUAAUAUAUCGGAACGUGCCCAGUCGUGGGGGAUAACGUAGCGAAAGCUACGCUAAUACCGCAUACGAUCUAUGGAUGAAAGCGGGGGAUCGCAAGACCUCGCGCGAUUGGAGCGGCCGAUAUCAGAUUAGGUAGUUGGUGAGGUAAGGCUAACCAAGCCGACGAUCUGUAGCUGGUCUGAGAGGACGACCAGCCUCACUGAGACUGAGGCACGGCCCAGACUCGUACGGGAAUCAGGAGGAGGGAAUUUUGGACAAUGGGCGCAAGCCUGAUCCAGCAAUGCCGCGUGCAGGAUGAAGGCCUUCGGGUUGUAAACUGCUUUUGUACGGAACGAAACGGCGAGCUCUAAUACAGUUUGCUAAUGACGGUACCGUAAGAAUAAGCACCGGCUAACUACGUGCCAGCAGCCGCAGUAA
rnacentral:rRNA from 1 species